GACAGAGGUCCCGAGCGUUAGGCGGAAUCACUGGGCUUAAAGCGUGUGUAGGCGGAUCGUUAAGUGCCUUGUGAAAUCCCACGGCUUAACCGUGGAACUGCUUGGCAUACUGGCGGUCUUGAGCAACCUAGGGGCAAGCGGAACAAAUGGUGGAGCGGUGAAAUGCGUAGAUAUCAUUGGAACGCCAAUGGUGAAACAGCUUGCUGGGGUUGCUGACGCUGAGACACGAAAGCCAGGGAGCAAACGGG
rnacentral:rRNA from 1 species